CGGGACCCAAGGAGCUGGGGCUGCAGCUGGGGCCCCGGACCUGCCUCCUGCGCCCGCCCUCGGGCCUGCGCCUCGGAACGCUUGAACACAAAGGUGGCGCCUUGGGGGCGUCAGCCGGAGUUCGGCGGGUCUGCCCACGCAGGAGAGGCGCCCAGAGCGGGUGCCCCCGACUUUCGGGGGCGACACACCCGGGGAUCUAGGUCACAAAUCAGUAACUCCAGGCUGCACUGCGCACCGGGACAAAUCUGAGAGCCACCCAGCCCCAGACACCAGCGGUGAGGCAGGAAGAGGAGAAGCGAAAGUUGCAAAAGGAAAUGUUCAGGAAAACAAACAGGCCGCCUUGGCACCGGCGCCCUCCCAGGUUCUGAACUGAAGGAUAAACAAAAAAAGCAAAGUUGGAAGGAUGAAAAUACAAGCUUUCUCAGUGGUUAAGAGAAUAUGGCUUACGUCCAAGGCCAAAUUGGAGCAACAUAUUCCUUUCCAUCUGUAUUAGUCAUCAAUUGCCACAUAACAAAUUGCCCCACGAUUUAACAGCUAAAAACAGUAAACAUUCGUUAUUUCACACCAUUUCUCUGGGUCGAGAAGGCAGGAGAGACUUAGCUAGAUGGUGCUGGCUCAGGGUCUCUCAGGAGGUUGCAGUCAGAUGUCAGCCAGUGCUGCCAUUAUCUGAAGGCUCGCUGGGGCUAGAGGAGUCUCACAAGGUGGAUUACUCACAUGCUCAGCAAGUUAGUGCUAGGUGUGGAUGGGAAGACUCAGUUUGUA
rnacentral:lncRNA from 1 species